CUUUGUUGCUGUGGGGGUGGUGAGGUCACUGAGGCACCUCAGGCCGAGUCCGGGCGCAGGAGGCACCGCUGGUUGCGCAGCCUCUGGCACAGCCGUGCAUUCCAGCGGGCGGCCGCGGUCGGGAGCGCUGCCUGUGGCGGGCGAGAUCACCAAGUGCCCUCGUGUUGCUUCUCUCGCCCCCAGAAAUCCUACGAACACUUGGCAAAAAUACGAGUAGCGAGAGAAGCGGCUCCAGAGUGCAACUGCCCACCAGGUGGAAUAUCGACUGUCAACUUAAGCUGAUUAUGCCUGCCAGCAGGAUGUGUGAUUGUACUCGUAUAUAAGGAGGGAUCUCUCCUAGUUCAGAAUUCAAUUCCUGCCAAACUCACCAGUCUGAAAGGACUACCAAAUCUCAGUGUUAAAGCUGCUUACAGUGGUUGGUACACUUUUUGUGAUGCCACAGCUGAGAACUGGGUACUUACUUGCUGGUGUAGGGGUUGCCAUGGCUAUCAUGGGAAGGACAGUAUAUAUGACUAGGA
rnacentral:lncRNA from 12 species